GAUGAACGCUAGCGGCAGGCCUAAUACAUGCAAGCUGAACGGUAAAUAUUGUAGCAAUACAAUAUGAGAGUAGCGUAAGGGUGCGUAACACGUAUGCAAUCUGCCCUGUACAGGAGGAUAGCUCGGGGAAACCCGGAUUAAUACUCCGUAAUAUUAUUGGGUGGCAUCACCUGGUAAUUAAGGUCGCAAGACGGUAUGGGAUGAGCAUGCGUCUGAUUAGCUAGUUGGUAGUGUAACGGACUACCAAGGCGAUGAUCAGUAGGGGAACUGAGAGGUUGAUCCCCCACACUGGCACUGAGAUACGGGCCAGACUCCUACGGGAGGCAGCAGUAGGGAAUAUUGGUCAAUGGAUGCAAGUCUGAACCAGCCAUGCCGCGUGCAGGAAGAAGGCCUUCUGGGUUGUAAACUGCUUUUGCCGGGGGAUAAAAAGUCCAUGCGUGGACAAUUGAAGGUAACCCGGUCGGAAUAAGACCACGGCUAACUACUAGCC
rnacentral:rRNA from 1 species